UGGGGAAUAUUGCACAAUGGGCGAAAGCCUGAUGCAGCGACGCCGCGUGAGCGAAGAAGUAUUUCGGUAUGUAAAGCUCUAUCAGCAGGGAAGAUAAUGACGGUACCCAACAAGGAAGUGACGGCUAACUACGUGCCAGCAGCCGCGGUAAAACGUAGGUCACAAGCGUUGUCCGGAAUUACUGGGUGUAAAGGGAGCGCAGGCGGGAAGACAAGUUGGAAGUGAAAUCUAUGGGCUCAACCCAUAAACUGCUUUCAAAACUGUUUUUCUUGAGUAGUGCAGAGGUAGGCGGAAUUCCCGGUGUAGCGGUGGAAUGCGUAGAUAUCGGGAGGAACACCAGUGGCGAAGGCGGCCUACUGGGCACCAACUGACGCUGAGGCUCGAAAGUGUGGGUAGCAAACAGGAUUAGAUACCCUGGUAGUCCACACCGUAAACGAUGAUUACUAGGUGUUGGGAGAUUGACCCUCUCAGUGCCGCAGUUAACACAAUAAGUAAUCCACCUGGGGAGUACGACCGCAAGGUUGAAACUCAAAGGAAUUGACGGGGGCCCGCACAAGCAGUGGAGUAUGUGGUUUAAUUCGACGCAACGCGAAGAACCUUACCAAGUCUUGACAUCCUCUGACGAACGUAGAAAUACGUUUUCUCUUCGGAGCAGAGAGACAGGUGGUGCAUGGUUGUCGUCAGCUCGUGUCGUGAGAUGUUGGGUUAAGUCCCGCAACGAGCGCAACCCUUAUGGUCAGUUACUACGCAAGAGGACUCUGGCCAGACUGCCGUUGACAAAACGGAGGAAGGUGGGGAUGACGUCAAAUCAUCAUGCCCUUUAUGACUUGGGCUACACACGUACUACAAUGGCGUUAAACAAAGAGAAGCAAGACCGCGAGGUGGAGCAAAACUCAGAAACAACGUCCCAGUUCGGACUGCAGGCUGCAACUCGCCUGCACGAAGUCGGAAUUGCUAGUAAUCGUGGAUCAGCAUGCCACGGUGAAUACGUUCCC
rnacentral:rRNA from 1 species